rnacentral:lncRNA from 1 species
CCUCCUGUACAGGUUUAUUUGCAAGAUGGGUUUGAGGGAAUUAAGGAUAAAGUCUGCUGAAAGUAGCACCAGCCUCUGGAUUAAAAGGGAUGUUUGGAUGAAGCUUCAAUCUCAAGAAGAGGCAAGAGAAAACUAAAGAAAAAGUCUCAAAAAAAAAAAAAAAAGAUGCUAAGAGAGAUCACUUUCGACCCAUUUACAUUAUGAUGCAAUAUGAAAAUAAAAUAAAUACCACUCUAACAUUUUCAGGACAUAUGGCAAUUCUCCCUGUGCUGAUUUUUUUUAAAUGUAUCUCUGCAGUAUUAACAUCCUCUAAAUCAUUCUCUUUGUUUUAGAGACAAGAAGGUAGUUGACAAGCUGUGAACCUGCAUUGCAUUCUAGUGAUGGGACACGUGGAAGGGGAAGCUGAAGUUGAAGGGUGGAUGGUAGCAGCCACAGGGAGUGAGAUGGGCUCGUUUCUGGAGCUGUUGGGAGAGAAAAAGGGAGUCAAACGGGAAUUCACACAGGGUUGUGCAUUAUAUCCAAGUGUGUAUUCAGAUACAAGCCUUUAUCUCAAUACCUUCCUUACCCCCAUUCCGCACAUAUCUCAUACCAAAGUACAAAUAAAACCAUUCCCAA